UUGUCCGGAUUUAUUGGGCGUAAAGAGCGUGUAGGCGGUUUGGUAGGUCCGCUGUGAAAACUCGAGGCUCAACCUCGAGACGCCGGUGGAAACCAUCAGACUAGAGUCCGGAAGAGGAGAGUGGAAUUCCUGGUGUAGCGGUGAAAUGCGUAGAUAUCAGGAGGAACACCGGUGGUGUAGACGGCUCUCUGGACCGUAACUGACGCUGAGACACGAAAGCGUGGGUAGCAAACGGG
rnacentral:rRNA from 1 species